AAAUUGAAGAGUUUGAUCAUGGCUCAGAUUGAACGCUGGCGGCAGGCCUAACACAUGCAAGUCGAACGGUAACAGGAAGCAGCUUGCUGCUUCGCUGACAAGUGGCGGACGGGUGAGUAAUGUCUGGGAAACUGCCUGAUGGAGGGGGAUAACUACUGGAAACGGUGGCUAAUACCGCAUGACGUCGCAAGACCAAAGAGGGGGACCUUCGGGCCUCUUGCC
rnacentral:rRNA from 1 species